AUUUAUAUAGUUUAACAAAAACUUUACAUUUUCAAUGUAAAAUUAGAUCAAUUCUUGUAAAUG
rnacentral:tRNA from 1 species